rnacentral:tRNA from 1 species
GGGGGUAUCGUUCAACGGUAGGACAGCGGUCUCCAAAACCGCUAAUGUGGGUUCGAUUCCUACUGCCCCCG